CACAAUUGAAAAAGACAUUAAUUGCUCAUUCUAACCCAACGGCCACAGUGGUUAUAGUCCUUUAUAGGAGGGAAAGAACCCCAACAACCCUAGAAUACAUAGUGUUCCAUUCAAGAGACGCUCAUCUAAUGUCUAACGUCUAACGUCUAACGUCUAACAUCGUUCACCACUGGGAGCUGUGGAUAUAGUGCCGAGAAAAUACAAUCACAUCUUGAAAGUUGGAAAUAAUAGAAAUUGAAAGCAUGAUCCCAAAUCUUUAUUUCAAAGCACCCAUCAGUGAGAGAAAGAAAGUAAAUUGGAAUAUGAAGACCUCUUUGAUCUUCCUUUGGAGGUAAAAUUAUAGGAAUCAAAAGAUUCAGAAGUGUCAAGCUGAAACUUGUCAAGAAAGGCUUCAGGAGAAAUAAAUGUUUCUUCUGUUUCAAGACAUACGUGAAGAAAAAUCAUAAAGGAAACCUGCGAAUGAAACCAGUGCUCCUACCACCGUGCUACGGGGUUUCUUUUUCAACUCUUCUUAAAUUCUUUGUGAUCAACAUAAAAAGCCUUUGGACUCAGAUUGGACCCAUGCCGUCAAUUCUUCUGGAUCUCCAGCUUGGUGACUGCAGAUGUUGGGAGUUCUCAGCCUCCAUAACGGCAUGACGCAAUUUCUUGCCUCAGUGUGGGGAUCACCUCCACAGGGAAGACUCCUCUGACCCACUAUCCUCCCUCCUGAGGUUAGGUAAGAAGCUGAUGACUUCGUUGGCACUGGUGUCCGGCUGCAGACGGAGGAAGCAAUUACGUUGAGAAACAGGAUGACGCCACUGAGGCUGUCCUGUGGGAGAGCUGGAGGAGGAAUCGGACUCAUUGGCAGUCACAAAGGAGGGCUACCCAUACCCGGGUCCCAGGACAUUGGAGGCAGAAAUCCAGAGUUAUGCUGCAAAUUGUGCUUCUGGGCGUUCUUAAGGCAGAUCCUCUGUUUCUGACCAGACUUGUUUUAGUUUCCUAUAUGACCAGCUGCUCAAGUGUACUGCCAUUAUCCGUCAACUCCACAUGUCCAAACUAACAAAAGUGAAUUGCUUUUAGUGUUGCUUCCAAACUGGUAGCUGGCUGACAUCCACCUGCUCUGUGUUGGUGAUUUUGUAUGCUAAUAUCCCAUAGGUAAAUGCCAUGAAACUGGUUAAAAAGCAUCUUUGUAGUUUUUUCUCCCCAUCCUUUAUGGCUUAAGGGAAGACUGGAAAAUUUAAACUUCCAGUAUGGUCAGUGCAGAGACAAAUCCAAACACUGCUGUUGCUAGUCAGAAACAGGCCUUGUAAAAAGCAUAGUUUCACAUCUUCUGAAUGUGGAUGAAUAAUGAAAGUUCUCUUUUUCAUUAUCAUAUGUCUAUAUGAUAUGGACAUCACUUGCAGCCUUCCCUAAACCCAUAAAUAACCCUUUUGACCCUAGAAGAGACUUGGAAUAUAGCUUCUCUCUACGUCAGCAUUCCUCUCUUCUGUCAUCAUUGUUGAACUAGAGAGCAAAGAUGGUGAUAUAUCACAAUACAUAGUGAUAGAGAGGAUGAGGAAUAUGAAAUCCUAAGAUAAUGCAAUGGUAACUUCAAAUAUAUUUUGUGGAUGUAUAUUUCACCUAAGCAUUUGAAGUAUGUCCUGUGAUUUUACAUUCCUUACUAACAAAGUUAUUAAAUUCAAAUAUCCUAUAUAUACCUCUUUCAAGCAUUUAUGAUUACAUCAUCAUUUCAACAAGACCAACAACUAUUGCUUAUUCUUCUUUGAAUGCACUCUGCCUUUUUGCCUUAGUCGCAGUGCAUUUAUAAACAAGUUUAGCCAUGGUUCUCAAUCCAAAGAGAUAUUAGACAGGUAACUGAGAAAAGAUAAAGAAUAGAAAUGUAUUAUUACCCGACAGUCUUUUGUUGAUGACAUGACAUCUCCAUCUUGACUCCCACUUUUAUUCCUUAAUCUUUUGUGAUACCAAAAGUCAUUACAAUUAUGGAAGCAGAUCCUAGAAUUUCUAUGCUCUUCAAUGUUAACUGCAUUGCCCCUGAUUUGAGGAGCAAUUGUAGGUCUCUUUGGAAAUGACUAAUAAAUAAGUAGUUACAAGAUAUUUUGUGUAACAGAAUUCCAAAUUUAAUAAAAGUAUGAACCUAAACUAAAAAACAUGAUGGUGGAGUUAAUGAGAUUGGAAUCGUGUGCCAUCAGAGCACCAGUCCCCCUCAAACCUGUCUUGGUAGGUCUAAUGCCAGAGCUGCAGACGACGUAGAGCAAGCACUGUCAAUAGAAGGGCAGGGUCAGGUCUGGGGGAGGCUAAGCUCCCAGCUCUCGGAGACUUGAGUUUUCUCACUUGCAGAGUAGUCUAUUAAAACACAUAUCAUUAGUGUAAAAACAACAUGCAUCUUCUUUUGAUUUAGUGACAAAUUUCUAUAAUUGUUCCUUUUACUUUGGCAAACCCACAAAGAGGGAAAUUUGACUGAAAUAGCUGGGAGAAGUGGAAAGACCAGGAAUUAAUUCCUUCAUGAGUGAUCAGAUGUGGGACAGAAAAAUCUGUCUAUGAGCCACUGAUACAUGAGAAUGGAUUCUCCAAUGGUUUUGAAGUAUAAACACAGAAGCAACUUCAUCAAUGUUUUCCUGGUACUUUAGUGCAUUGGCCUGAGUAGUUAUGAGGGCAAAUGUUGAGCACACAUUGGCUCAAAGGGGAAAAUGAGUAUUUUAAUCAAACACAUAUAAAUCUCCCACUGGUCUCUACGGAGGUAUAUUUUGCCAUAGCUCCACAAGUAGUUAGGGGUGAAUCUAUCUGCUAGACGCUGUUCAGUGUGCUCAGGGAAAAUGUCUCUCCUCAUGGAAUUUACACUCUAGUGACUGAGACAGAUAAAAUCCAAUAGUCAAAGAGACAUACAUAUGCUGUCCAUUGUGUUGAGUUCCAGGAAAAAAGUAAACACAGCCAAGGCAGCAAGGGUAAGAGGAGAUGCUAUUUAGAUAGGGAAGGGAGGAAAAGUCUCUUUCUGGAGCUGACUUUAAGCGGAGACCUGAAUGGGAGAGUGGGCCAUGUGUAUAUCUCGGGGAAAAGAGGGAAAUUUGACUGAAAUAGCUGGGAGAAGUGGAAAGACCAGGAAUUAAUUCCUUCAUGAGUGAUCAGAUGUGGGACAGAAAAUCUGUCUAUGAGCCACUGAUACAUGAGAAUGGAUUUUCCAAUGGUUUUGAAGUAUAAACACAGAAGCAACUUCAUCAAUGUUUUGGGAAAAGAUCUUGCACUUCAUGCAAGUGGAGCGGUGAGUUCAAAAGCUCUCAGGCGGGAGUGUGGUUGGUGACUGGGAACAAGUGUGAGGAGAGCAUGGUCAGCAGGUGCUGAAGUGACGAAACAUCACUUUAUUAGUGUGACAGGGUCUAGAUGGUUAUAGGGUCUUAGGGGUCAGAGUGAGAACGUCGGUCAAAAUGGGAUGGGAAACCAGCUGAUAGUCCAUGGGGGGUUUUAAACAGGGGUGACAAGAUCUAUGGGAUCACUGUCACUGCUGGGUGGACAAUAGGCUGUAGAGAAGAAAGAGUGAAGCAAAGAACCAGUUAUGAGGAAAUUGUAAUAGUCCAAGCAAGAGGCUGUCAUGCUUGGGCAACCUCCCUCAAUUACCGGCCUUAAUGACAGCAGGUUUUGACAAUCCUCCGCAGAGAGGUGAGCACAUUACAGAAAGUUUUCACAUGCAGUCUUGGAAGCAUUUGGGGAUCUGGGUGUCAGUACAGACUGGUUCUACCACCAAACAUUAAUGUCCUCUUGGACAGAAAAUUUAAACUUCCUGUAAUGCAACUUCCCAUUUUAACUUUCAGGGUUUGAAAUAAAUUAUCACAACCACCUGCACCUCUAACUGUCCAUGUUUCUCUGCGGACAAAUAUAAAGGAAGUAGCACAUGGAGAAUGUGUGAGCAUCAGGAAUCUAAUACAGCAUUGGAGUGUCUUACGUCAACGAAUUCGAAAGGAAACAUUAAUAAACCAUUAUUGCAUUGUAGAGUAAGAAGGUUAGAAGACUUUUUUGUUAGCUUUAUUUUUUUGCAAUGGAUAACAAAUGUGCAAAACCGACAAUUUUUUUAAUCUAUCCCUAGGAGCUUUUUCAUGAUUUUUGUGUGAUUGCAAUUAUGCAAUCCAAAGUCUCCAACUGAAUUAAACAUCUCAUAACCAUUUUAAUGAUUCAGGAUAGAAAGGAAAAAGUGCAGAGUUUAAAUUCUGUUUCAUUAUGAUGAUGCUUGAGAAUUUCAUUGACCUUGCUGGACCUUUUGGAAUUUGAGUUCAUUUAUAAUCAAACUAGAAAAAAAUGUUUUGAAAUGCUAUUUAGAAGCUAAAAAGAAUUAUUGGACCCUGAAUAACUUUCAUUACAUGACAUUUUGAUAAGGUCAUUGUAAAUGAGUCAGAAACAUGGAUUACCUUUCCUUUAAAAAUACACGUCGCUUCACAACAGAUUUGGUCCAAAUUCAUCUUGGCUUUUGCUGAAUCCCAAGUGCUUUCCUUCUAAUUCUUUUUCUCUUUAAAUUCUCCAAUAACCUUGCUAAACCCGUAAUCUAGGUGAGCUCACCCACCUCACUUCCCCACUGAGGCUAGCCUCAGGCUUUUCUCUAAUAGCGUGUACUCUUGGAGCAGAGAGUUGUACGCAGAGAAUCAGCGGAAGCACGAAGUCUAAUAAAGCAUGGGAAUCGUUUUCUUCCUUUUAAACAGGGAGAACUCUAAGGGAAUGAUCCUGUUCCAGAGUACUGACUCAAAUCUGCUCUGUGUUUGAACUCUGUGAUUAUGAAAUUUCAAUUAAAGCUAUAAAAAGCAAAGCUCACAGACACCAGAGCAUGCCAAAGAAAAACAGGAUGUUCUCUUUUGAUUGGGAAAUAAUUAUCUAAGCUCAGUGGCUGGGUCCAGGUAGCUGAGUUUACCUUUGCUCACCUCAUUAUAGAAACAGUUGAAUUAUGGUAAAUUUUCCCCAAGCAGCAAAGCUGUCAUUCAAAAGGGUGAUUUUAUUGGGGUGCAAAUCCCUUUAGUUAUUGCUUCAGUCCAUUUUUAAAAUGGAUUUGAGGCCUGAGGGGGAAGUACAAAUUAAGACAGAUUUUCCCUUUUGUGCGAUGAACCUGCCUGUUCCGAGCCAGCCCACUGUCGUCCCUGCAGGGCGGGCACCUGCCGGGAGAGUCCUCUGUUAUUCUCUGCAGAGGUGAGCUGUAAACACAGCCAGCUCUCUUUCUCAAAAGUCAUUACCCUGAUUGGAUCAUGUCUUCCACAACAGAAUAAAUUUCCCUACACUUUAUUACUUAGUGUUUGAAACGUGUGAAGCUCAGUUUUGAGGUGAGGUAGAAAGGCAUUCAAAAAUUUCAGGAUUGCAGAAAUGUAGUAACAUUAAUGCUUUUCCAUCCCUUUACCUUGGGGGUGGAGAGGAAGGAGAGCAGAACUUUCUAAAAUUCGAGAAAUUGACUCUUUUUUCUAAUUUUUGAAUUUGAGUUCUCUUCAUGACUGCAGUUUAUUGUGAGAGAUUCUGCUGAAGAUAUAAUAUGCAUACACAUUCUGUUUAA
rnacentral:lncRNA from 1 species